CAGCAGCCACGGUAAUACGGAGGGGGCUAGCGUUGUUCGGAAUUACUGGGCGUAAAGCGCGCGUAGGCGGCUUGGUAAGUUAGAGGUGAAGGCCUGGAGCUCAACUCCAGAAUUGCCUUUAAGACUGCCGAGCUAGCAGGUGAGAGAGGUAAGUGGAAUUCCGAGUGUAGAGGUGAAAUUCGUAGAUAUUCGGAAGAACACCAGUGGCGAAGGCGGCUUACUGGCUCAUACUGGACGCUGAGGUGCGAAAGCGUGGGGAGCAAACAGGAUUAGAUACCCGAGUAGUCCCUGUCUCUUAUAC
rnacentral:rRNA from 1 species